rnacentral:rRNA from 1 species
GUAGUCCACGCUGUAAACGAUGGGUGCUAGAUGUCGGGGGGUUACCUCUCGGUGUCGCAGCUAACGCAUUAAGCACCCCGCCUGGGGAGUACGGUCGCAAGAUUAAAACUCAAAGAAAUUGACGGGGACCCGCACAAGCGGUGGAGUAUGUGGUUUAAUUCGAAGCUACGCGCAAAACCUUACCAGGCCUUGACAUGGAUCGUAUGAGUCUAAGAGAUUAGAUUCUUCACUUCGGGUGGCGAUCACACAGGUGCUGCAUGGCUGUCGUCAGCUCGUGUCGUGAGAUGUUGGGUUAAGUCCCGCAACGAGCGCAACCCUUGGUUCUAGUUGCUAACAGGUUUGGCUGAGCACUUUAGAAUAACUGCCGGUGACAAGCCGGA